UCUGCAGCGCGCACUUCGUUGACAACUGCGUCAGUAAUAUCGAGGGCCAUCCUUCCUAUGUGCCAACGAUUUUCCCGCCAGUGUACCGGAAGAAAGCCCCCGAUGCGGGAAGACACAAAAGGUGGAUGCAACGGAAACACAAUGCGGUGCACAGUCUGCAAAAAACCUGUCAAGGCAUGUUAACAACAGACACACCGGAGCCCUCUGCCCUGCCCGAUGAGCAUGACCAAGAACGGAGCGAGGACGAACAGCUCGACAUACUAGCAGAUAUUGCUUCAGCUGCCCCAAGGCUACCGACAUACAGAGAUGUGGGUACAGAAACUGAAAGCUCGUCCCAUGCUGGCUCACUUAAGAUGAUGUUGUCCGUAACUGACGGGGU